UCUCUUGGGGCCUUAGGGAACACAGAAAAGAGUGGAGGAGGAAGGAAAGGAGCAGAGCUAUAAGGAAACAGCGGGGCCUGGCAGAGAGAUCAUGGGCCUAAGAGGCAGGGGGGUCUUGGGAGUCAGAGGCCCUGGGUUCUAAUUCCAGCUCUGCCCCCUGCCUGCUGUCUGACCUUGGGUGAGUCAUGUAACUUCUCCGGGCCUCGGUUUCCUCCUCUGUAAAAUGGGAAUUAAGACUGUAAGCCCCAUGUGGGACCGGGACUGUGUCCAUCCUGAUUCUCUCGUAGCUACCCCAGCGUUUAGUACACUCCUGGCACAUAGUAAGCCCUUAAGAAAUACUGUUUAAAAAAAAAGUUAGGGAGAGGCAGCUCUGGGCUGAAACAUCUCAGACAUCUCUGAGCCAGGGGAGGGAGAGAGAGAAGUGGCUCAAACUCCCAUCCUAGGGAGAGCUUGGUCAACCCUCCUGACCUCUCCCUCUGUAUAUGAGGUGGGGGUGCCAGGGGAGCCAAUUUUUUGGUUGGGGAUGGGGAAGUCUAAGCUAGAGCUUCCUCUUUCUUAGCUUGUGGGCCCCCCCUUCCCCACCCCCGUGGGACGGGAACCAUGUCUAAUUCCUCCCCGGGUGAUCUCUCGCAGUGAUGAUUACGGUGCUUGGCACACAGGAAAGUGAGAUCAGAACCCAACAGCCCCCUCCCCAGACCAAGACAAGAGAGAAGUAGCCACUGUUCCCUCAGGGACAGUUCCAGGGUCCUUGGGACGGUGUCUUCUAGACCAGGAUUGUCUCAAAGGCCGUUUAACCAGCCCGUGUGAACGGGCCAUCAUACUUGCCAGAAACUGUCCACUUCUGCUGCCCUGGAGCCCCGCGUGGAACAAGGCCGGCGUCCAACUUCUCUUCCGUCUUCCUCAGUGCUUACUACAGGGCCGGGCGUAACAGCUUAAAGACCACAACGAUCUGCUGCAUCGUUGGUGCAUCCAACGUGGGCUCCGGAGACGAGGAGGCGCGUCCAGUCGUCGAGCUGGCUGAAAAUCGUCUCGGUGAGAGCGGGUCACUCUGCUUGGCUUCUCGGCGUAGGUUCAUUACGUUAUGUCUCCUCCAGGAGGACUGUGGACGUCGAGUCAAUCGCUGUUUUGUUGAGCGAUUGAAAGCUCUGCCGAAUUCCAUCGGAUUGAACAGUUUCAUGUCAGUCGAUAAACAGAAAGCCAACGGGCAUUUGGUAUUCUCGUCAUUUUUCUGUUAGCUGGCAGAGGUAGUGGACGUGGUCAGUAGUUUAGCAUCUGGAGC
rnacentral:lncRNA from 1 species